rnacentral:RNase_P_RNA from 1 species
GAGCAGGUUGGGCAGCCGCGGGCGUUUUGCGCACGAGGAAAGUCCGAGCUUCAUAGGGCGGGAUAACGGCUAACGGCCGCCGAGGGAGACCUUAGGGAAAGUGCAACAGAGAUAUACCGCCGGAUUCGUCCGGUAAGGGUGGAAAGGCGAGGUAAGAGCUCACCGGCGUACAGGAGACUGUGCGGCCCUGCAAACCCACUGGCCCGGUGCAUUCCCCGACGGGUGGCUUGAGCCGUACGGCAACGUGCGGCCUAGACAGAUGGCUGCCUUAAAUGACAGAACUCGGCUUACAGACCUGUC